GGGGCUUACAUAUUCUCUGAGACUGGGAAAUGGUGACUGAUGAAAGAAAGGGCUGACUGAGGGCAAGCUGCUGCAGCAUGGAUUCUCCUUCCCAUCACAGCACACCAGUAGGCAACUGGGUCCUGGUGCAGAACACCACCUGACGUGGUUAGCCUGUUAUCCCCUGGCUGUUUGGUGUCAUGCUAUUGCCACUGCCAGGGCUGUCCCAUGCUGACACGGUGAUGACACUGGAGAUUGUGUCUUUCUCUGCAAUUACAUCUGCACAAAACUAGUUCUAGCCCAGCAAGUGCCAUUGCAUGCAGCAUCGACAGGAAGAUGAGACUCCAGGGAGCUCCUUAGCACUGAUGUCCCUGAG